GAUCCUGGCUCAGGAUGAACGCUAGCGGCAGGCUUAACACAUGCAAGUCGAGGGGUAUAGUUCUUCGGAACUAGAGACCGGCGCACGGGUGCGUAACGCGUAUGCAAUCUACCUUUCACAAAGGGAUAGCCCAGAGAAAUUUGGAUUAAUACCUUAUAGUAAUACGACUUGGCAUCAAGAUGUAUUUAAAGAUUUAUCGGUGAAAGAUGAGCAUGCGUCCCAUUAGCUUGUUGGUAAGGUAACGGCUUACCAAGGCAACGAUGGGUAGGGGUCCUGAGAGGGAGAUCCCCCACACUGGUACUGAGACACGGACCAGACUCCUACGGGAGGCAGCAGUGAGGAAUAUUGGACAAUGGGCGCAAGCCUGAUCCAGCCAUGCCGCGUGCAGGAUGACGGUCCUAUGGAUUGUAAACUGCUUUUGUACAGGAAGAAACCCUUUCACGUGUGGAAGAUUGACGGUACUGUAAGAAUAAGGAUCGGCUAACUCCGUG
rnacentral:rRNA from 1 species